GCAAACAAAGAAAAUUUUGUCAACAUUGCACUACUACGCAGGCAACUGGAUUGGUCUAUAGGCUCAUGGGUAUUUGACAAGCUGCAGCAGUACAAUUUUAGAACUACACAGCAAAAAAUAAUGUAAUAUUGCUCGAUGUAAUACCUUUGAUGUAAAAAAAAAUCCGAUGUAAUCGGGUUUUUCAGAUACACAAUCACACCAAUUCGAUGAUAUAUUACAUCCUUCUGAAAUUACAUAGAAAUAUAAUUCAGUUUUUUCAUUACGUUGGAUAUGUGUAAUAUUUACCUUAACAAAAUGUGAAUAUUACACGCAAACAGCUGCAACCAAGUAAUUGCCACUACAUUGCGUAGAAUCACACGAAAUCGAUGUGAAAUCACAUGCUUUUGAAAUGCGAUAUUAAAUCUUGCAACACUGCUCUGAUUGUGUUGUGUUCGGCCUUGCGAGCGGCCAUUUUCAGUUUUGCCGCAAACGAUGGAUGCUGUUUUUUGGAAAAUCAUUGACGGCGUUGUUUUAUAUUUCAAUGAGGUAAGAUAUGGGAGAAUCCUGGAGUUUCUUGUCGAAAGUGCAUUUCGCGGAAAAAAUUCUCUCCCGCAACUUUCGCGUGUUUCGUGGGACCAUUUCUUGAAAGUUGACGUUGAAAUUAAGAAAGUGUACCGCAAAUUGGCCCUACGAUGGCACCCGGACAAGAACCUGGACAAUCUGGAGGAAGCGGAUCUGCAGUUUUGCUGGUCCAGGCGACGCGACGUACGAUGUGCUGUCCGAUAUUUAGGAACGGGCCUGGUGCAAUAAUCAUCGGGAGCAGUUUCUGCGCGGAGGACAUACAAAUUAUGAGAACAAUUCGUUGGAUAUGUUUCAGUAUUCAACGACUUCCUGCUACAAGGGUUUCGGUAUGAUUAGGGAGGAUUCUACGCCGUGUAUGGAGAAGUGUUCCAUACGAUAGCCUCGGAGGAGAUUGAGUUCGUGGAGAACGAGGAGAAUUUCGAGGAUAUUUUGAAGUUCGGCAAUUCGAAGAACGACUACGAGACGGAAAGCUCGACUUUUCUACGAGAAGAGCAAAAAGGUUCAGCAGAAGGCCAGACAAGUAUGAAACGAAGACAUUCGUUCGCUGGUGUUCGUAAAAAAACGAGACAAGCGGGUGCAGGCCUAUAAGAAGCUGCUGGAGAAACGGGCCAAACAGGACAGGAUUAGGUCGCAGCAGAAUCGGCUGGAAAAGAUCAGUCGGAAGCAGAAGGAGAUUGAGGAGCUGCAGAGGAAUUCGUCCAAUGUGUUCAACCAUGCUUAUGACGAGCAGUUGUGAUCGAUACGAAAAACUUGAACGAGCUCUGCGAUUCAUUUCACUGUUGGCUGAAGGAAAAUAAUCACUACCUGAAUUUAAUCUCUGUCCACUGCGGGUUCUCGGACUAUCACCUGAUGCGCUCCAGUCGUUAUACUACAUUAUUUAAACGUUUUUAAAGCAAUAAAAAUAGA